rnacentral:rRNA from 1 species
CCUACGGGAGGCUGCAGUGAGGAAUAUUGGUCAAUGGGCGGGAGCCUGAACCAGCCAAGCCGCGUGAGGGAAGAAGGUACAGCGUAUCGUAAACCUCUUUUGUCAGGGAACAAAGGCGGGGACUAGUCCCCGGAUGAGGGUACCUGAAGACAAAGCAUCGGCUAACUCCGUGCCAGCAGCCGCGGUAAUACGGAGGAUGCGAGCGUUAUCCGGAUUUAUUGGGUUUAAAGGGUGCGCAGGCGGCCGGUUAAGUCAGCGGUAAAAGCCCGGGGCUCAACCCCGGCGAGCCGUUGAAACUGGCGGGCUGGAGUUGGAGAGAAGUACGCGGAAUGCGCGGUGUAGCGGUGAAAUGCUUAGAUAUCGCGCAGAACCCCGAUUGCGAAGGCAGCGUACCGGCUCCACACUGACGCUGAGGCACGAAGGCGUGGGUAGCGAACAGGAUUAGAUACCCCAGUAGUC